rnacentral:rRNA from 1 species
UCUUAAACAUAACUUUCAACAACGGAUCUCUUGGCUCUCGCAUCGAUGAAGAACGCAGCGAAAUGCGAUACGUAAUGUGAAUUGCAGAAUUCAGUGAAUCAUCGAAUCUUUGAACGCAUAUUGCGCUCUUUGGUAUUCCGAAGAGCAUGCUUGUUUGAGUAUCAGUAAACACCUCAGCCAGAUUCUUUUUCUGGAUGGACUUGAGCAAACCCAACGUGGCCUCAGGCGGCGGCGGGUUGCUUAAAAUGCAGGUGCAGCUGUGACAAGAACAGACUGAGCUAAAAGCAUAUCUAAUUUAGUCCGCCUGGCGGAUUAUCUCUAUUUGCUGCAGUUCAACCAAAAGUCGUCUUGUCGGGCUGACUGAUGCAGGAUUUGUCAGACUUUCUUUCUCUCUCUGAGAGAAGGGCUUCUUUCAAAACUCGAUCUCAAAUCAAGUAAGACUACCCGCUGAACUUAAGCAUAUCAAUAAGCGGAGGA